CUUUUACUCCCUCCGUUCGGAAUUACUUGUCUCAAAAAUGGAUGUAUCUAGAACUAAAAUAGUCUAGAUACAUCCAUUUUCGCGACAAGUAAUUCUGAACGGAGGGAGUGCCUU
rnacentral:pre_miRNA from 1 species